rnacentral:lncRNA from 1 species
UCCAUUAGUGAUCUUUUAUGUGCACCAUCCCACAGACAGGAUAGCACAUACCAUAGCCUUUGAUAUAGCAGUCAUGGUGCACUGGCUGUAACGAGAAAUGGCCCAAUGGGCCACCGAUGGGUAUCAAUCUUAGAUUGACCAUGCAUCAGACGAGCACUUUACCACUGGAAAUACAAAGUAUACAGUAAAAUAGAUUUAAUCCAUAUAGCUUUUAGUUUAUAUUUUUAUUAUAAAGUUACCUUUAAACCAUGUAUAUAUAGAGAAAAAAUUGUAGCAGAUGCAUUCAGCAGGAAUUCUUGAAAUGCCUUUAGCGUACAGUAGUAUAGUGGGUGUGGGGUGGGGGGAGGGCUUAUAUUGCAACCUGUAGUAACAUCUUACUAAAAUAUAGUACAUGUGUUAUAAAUUGCUACAUGAAAAUUCUUAAAGCAUAUUUUUGAAUCAUAUGGGAGGUAUGGUUUAAAAGUAUGAUUAGGAUGUGUCUUCAUAAUUUAAAAUAAUAUUGUUUUGAUAAUGUUUUAAUGUAAUAUCAUAUAGUAUGCCUUUUUUUUUCAACAUCCACCACCCACAAAAUAUAAUAUUUUUGCGUGAUUUGCUUGCAAAUAUUUUACUUUGCCCCACGCUUUCCCCAAUGAUAAUUUUUGGAAUAGUACUAAGAUUGAUUACACAUGGUAGUGGAGAGUUGAGGAAAGCUGUAGUAUUUUUAAAGCAGAGAUGUGGAACAUAUAUUUGGGUGUGGAUGGGUAUGGUGUUCAUUCUGCAUGUCAUAGUGGAACAUGAUUCAUUAAUUGUAUAUAUACAUUUGAAUCUGUACAAAAACAGACCCAAUGUAAAACUACCGGGUGAGGCAUUGCCCACUUGGACCACUCCUACUUUCACCUCCAGGUCAUCACUAAGUGCUAAAUAAUUUGUUUCAUCGUUUCAUACUGGUCCGUGGAAUACUUAAAACUGUAUACGUUGUAAUAUUUUAUAAUUACAAUACUAUGGACCUUUUUCCUCUAAAUAUAGAAAAAGGCAGUUUAAAAGGAACUUGUCUCCCUUUGUGUAGGUAGAUCACGUUUCCAAUUCUCCACAUCAAAAAUAGUCUGGUAAAACAGAUUUCAUUGAAUGUAUUGUAUUUAUUAUUUUUAUUUACUAUGUUUGACAUGUACAGCUUUUGGGAAUUUUUACAGAAUGCAUAUUUUCACAAAAACAUGAGAAAUUAAUUGGCAUGUUUUCGUGUUAGAACGUUAAAAAUAUGAAACGUGAUUUUUCAGCUUCUUAUUUUUUAAUUUUAGCAUAAAAUAAUGUUCAUAAGCUAGACUGACACUGAUCUGAAUGUAGGAAAUGACAUUUACUAAAAACAUUUUGUUUUGAUUAGAGACAGUGGCUACUGUUUCACAUAUUACAAUUGUAUAGUGAAUCACAGCACAAUAUGAUUUAACUGCUAUAGGGUUUUUAGUUUUGAUGAGAUAUUUCAGCUUUUGUUUUUAAAUGGGUAUCACACCCCAGAUGAAAGAAUAGUGUAAUUUUAUUCACUGUUCUCCGAUAGAAUUCAUCGACUGAAAACUGGUGACCAUUAUAAUACUAAUAUGUGACUUAACUAUUAUAUUGAUUUCUUGCCAUAUUUUUGCAUACUAUGCAUAUUAUGCAAUUUUCUUUUAUGGUUAUCAUAUUUUCUGGGGGCGUUUGCUUUUGUUCUUACUAAAAUUAUGAAAUAUUUCAAUGGAGAAAAUCAAAUGUUAUUUGUCUUUUAAUAUCUAUAUCUAUAUACAUAUACAUGUAUAUAGGCUACAUGUAAGUAGUAUGUACAUUUUACAUUUUUUAAAAGUGAAUUAGCUAGUUUCACUUUUGAAUGUUCUGCUCAACAUACAUCUACAACAAACAUGACACUGUUCAUGAUUGUAAAGUGUUUUUACUUUUAAGAAAUUAAUACUAAAAAAGGACAUUGUAAAUACAAAAGGAAGGCAAGAUAAUCAGAUAAUUUUGUGAACAUGGAAAUACAAAAUGACAGAAGUGAAAACAUUUGGCAAUAAUUGUAUUAUUUGUUGAUAUAAACUGGCCAGGUGGUGUAACAAUGCUUUUAAAUAAUCCAGAUUUUCUCUUUUGGUGAGUAUAUACAUGUAUAUAUUUUGCUACACUUGUUGACAGCCAGACUGUCAGGUCUUGACCUUAACUUUUUUCAGUGGUAGCCCACCGGGCUACCAGGUUUUAAAAUAUGGUAGCCCUCAGUAAAAAUUGGCAGUCCCACAAUUUUAAUAAAUUUAAAAAAGAGGAAAAGGCAAAAUCAUUUGCUUUUAUUUAAACAUGUUGUUUUAGGUGGGUUUUUUAGAUGUUUAAGUGUCUUGUUCAUUGCGGAGUAACUGGAUGUAUCAAAAAAAAAUCUAAUAGCCCAGCGGACUACUGGGUUUAGACAUCUGGUAGCCCGAGCAACAAAUGGGUAGUUAAAACAUCCCGGGCUACUGCUAGUGGUUGUGAUGUGUUGUGACAUGAUUAUUGGUAUUAUAUUGUGUUGUAUGAGGAUGUGAUGAUGUUUUGUGACAUGAUUAUUGGUAUUAUAUUGUGUUGUAUGAGGAUGGGAUGAUGUUUUGUGACAUGAUUAUUGGUAUUAUAUUGUGUUGUAUGAGGAUGGGAUGAUGUUUUGUGACAUGAUUAUUGGUAUUAUAUUGUGUUGUAUGAGGAUGUGAUGAGGAUGUUUUUUUUGAUCUGAUUAAAGACUUCUUCUUUUUUUCACAUAAUUUUAUCAUACUAGAUUUGAUUUGAUAAGAAAUUUAGCAUAGAGAUUUUAUCUUUUCGAAAGACCAUUUUUGGCUUUUAUUUUAUCACAUAUGUGGUUAUAUAACACAUGGGAUUGUUUUCCUGUGUUUCAUAGUUGGAAUAUCUGUCAGGUUGUUUGAGCAGAGAUAAAAUACACAUGUAUCAUCAAAUGUUUCUGGAUUUUAGUGACACUAGAAAACUGUUUCCAUAAACACUGGAAAAUGACAGUGACUGGGUGUGUGGAUGCAUUUUAAUUUGAUUUUUAUAUAUGGGGUUGGGGGGCAGUGCCCUCAUCCCCCCCAAUUUCCAAAGCCUUUAGUUCUUGUGGUCUUUGAUGAAAAUAUCACAGAAAACUCCUACUUUUUAAUGCUUGUCAAAGUUUUUAUCAUUUGUCUUGAGUUUGCUGCCAUUGUAAGAUGUUUCCUACUGGUAGAGCUGUCUUAAUAACUAAUAUUACAUAUUAAAUAUAUACAGGAUUUGGUGGGGGUUUUUUUUAAUUUAAAAUAUCAACUGAGGCUAUGUUAAUAAGUAUUUGUUGAGGCUCUGCCGAAACAAAUACCAAUUAAGUAGACACGAUUUAUAUUUUACAUAUUAAAAAUCAUAAGAAAUGAAUUCUAUUUAUCCUGUAAGACUUCUGAAAUAAAAUGUUAAUUCAAUUUCUAGUGAAUCAAAGUUAUGAAGUCGCCUCACCAGUAAUUGAUUAGCACAAAUAUAGUUUGAUGUCACGUUUGUCAACUAAAUCUUAUCAAAAUGUUACGCUUGGGUAUACAAGUCUUGUUGGCUGUAAACAAAUGACCCAUUGACAGCAAACCAUUAGUAACUGAGUUAAUAAUGGUAAAUAUCAAAUGGGUUUAUGACAUGAAUAUUAUAGGUAAGUUAUAGGAUAAAUGAUUGUAUUGCAUAAGGGGUUUCUUGUAGUCCAAAUGUUUGUAGUGGCUAGUAGAAAUGUGAUUUUACCUAAUAAUAAUUAUGUAUGUACAAACAAUAUACAGUUUGAAUUCCACUGGCUCGAACCCUGUCUGUGCUCGAGAAAGUGUUCAACCAAUCGGGUAGUUUAACCCUAACCAUUCGGUCAACAUCGUGUAAGUGUAACUCGGGACUUUGUUUUUGGUUCGAGCGUUGCGGUAUAUUCGAUCCGACGAGAUUCAGCUGUAUAUUAGACAGUAAAAUGAAGUUUGAGCUACUACAAAUAUUAGGAUGACAUGUUGGGUAUAGAGACUGGUAUUCUAAACUCAAAAAUAUAUUUGAAAGCACAGUUUAGUCAUUAAUACAGUUAUAUUAAUCAGGAACAUCUUACAAUGGGAGAAAACUGAGGACAGUAUCUUUAAUCUAUCUGUAGGCAGGUUCCAGUACUUAGCUCUUGCAAAUUGAGAACACUAUACUGGUACUAUACAUAAUGUAAUAUGACAGAUUUGGUGUCUUAUUUUCUAGUCAAUGUGACGAACAUAAUGAUGAUGACACUUAAUGAUAGUUAAUGAUAAACCUUGGAUGCUGUAUAAUGAAUGAGGUAAUUAUUAUCUAUUUUUAGGCUACUUCACAUUAGAUAACUUCACAAAACGAAACUAGUCAGGAAUGCAAAAUGGCCUUUUUCCUUUUGUUUUUGAAUAAUUGCAUAUAGCUUGAAUAGUCUCAUGUACAGGUACCUAUUUUUUGUUUUUUUUGUUGGAUUUUGUUUUCCUUCAACAACAAAGUAAAUUUUUAUAUCAAACAUAACUUUUUAAGUAAUUAAUAAAAAUAUAUAGUUUACUUUCUUUUAUUUUAUGUAUCAGUUACUCUAUGCAUUGUGCAUGUCUUUCAUAAAAUAUUAUAUGUACAUGGAAAAGGUAAAAAAAAAAAUGAAGCAGGAUUUUGCUUAGUAAUUAUAUAAAAGUGCAAGAGGUCAUAUAAUUAAUUACAUUCAAUAAAUCUGUAUGUAUAUUUCUUUCUUUUUUUCCUGUUUUAUAUUGAUGUUCCACAAUGGGUGCAUCAAAGGCUGUGGCAAGUGUGUAAAAGAGUUCUUGUUGCUUAUUGAAAAUAGUUCACUAUUUGGCAAUAUUUGGGUGGGGUUUUUUUUUUCACAGCUGAAGUUAUGUGUUACAUUUAGUAUUUUAUAUUUUUGAUAUCACAUCUCUGUUAUCUGUUAGUACAGCUACUUACUGAGCAGUAUGUUAGCAUACAAAUGUUGCUUUGAAUAUUAUUUACUACCAGUUGUAGUACAUGUAGUUUUAAACUUUGGAACGUGAGUGUUGUGAUCUGAACUAUAGUUUUUUUGUCAGCAUUUCCGAGUUUAUAAAAUGAUUUAUUUCCCAUAUGGUUAAAAAUAUCUUGGUUCAUAUUAAAGUGUUACGUCCCACUAAAACAUUAAAUGGGAUGUAACACCUCGACGUCAUAAAAUGCCACACAUUUGAUAUAAAUUAAAAUCGUUUAUGGUUAAUAAAUAGGAUAUUAAACUCGCUACCAUUUAGUAUCAUGUUUAUGUCACUCAUUAAAUAAUUUUCAUUGUCAGUCGCAAUAGCUUGUGACAAUUGAAAAUUAGUUGACUUGAGACAUAAACAUGAUAUGAAAUGGAAAGACAUUUAAUAUCAUAUAAUUAUUGUUUUGUUUACAGUGUUGGACUUUGCCAUAAUUUAAAACGAUAAAGACCACUAUCUAUGUCACACACAAACAAACAAAAAGAGAGUAUUAUUCUAAAUUUUAACUCCGAAAAACAGGACAUUAUUUCAUUGGAUUGUGUCAUAAAGUAGUGCAAACUUGGCAACUGACAUGUAUGUGUUCUAUGAAGGCAGUUGAUGUUAACCAUAAAUAGUCCUAUCAUGUUUAUUAAAACUGUAUGUGUGUUUGUAUUUUGCAUAUUUAGUAAAUUAUGUUACAAUAUGGUGAGAUGAGACUGUAACUUUACAAGUUAUGAUUACUUCACGUCUUUAGCAUACAUGUGACUGAAUAUUAUGAAUUUUCAGUGUUUUUCUUUAUUGUUUUUGGUUUGUUUUUUAAAAUUUAAAUUUAAACAGUUAUUAUGUGUUCAUAAUGUAACUACUGGAAUGGAGCCCAGUAUUGUGAUAUGUUGUCGAUGCACCAAUUUACCAGCAUCCUCAUCCUGCCUACCAUGACUAGAAUGUUAUCUGAUCUUGGAGCUUGAUAUGUACAUUUUGUAAAUUUUAAAUUUAUAUUUGUAUUAUGAACAGUAAAUGCAUUGUCACCAAAAUA